UAGGGAAUCUUCGGCAAUGGGGGCAACCCUGACCGAGCAACGCCGCGUGAGUGAAGAAGGUUUUCGGAUCGUAAAGCNCUGUUGUAAGUCAAGAACGGGUGUGAGAGUGGAAAGUUCACACUGUGACGGUAGCUUACCAGAAAGGGACGGCUAACUACGUGCCAGCAGCCGCGGUAAUACGUAGGUCCCGAGCGUUGUCCGGAUUAUUGGGCGUAAAGCGAGCGCAGGCGGUUUGAUAA
rnacentral:rRNA from 1 species